rnacentral:rRNA from 1 species
GCCAUGCAUGUCUAAGUAUAAGCAAUCAUACUGUGAAACUGCGAAUGGCUCAUUAAAUCAGUUAUCGUUUAUUUGAUAGUACCUUUACCUGGAUAACCGUGGUAAUUCUAGAGCUAAUACAUGCUAAAAACCCCGACUUCGGGAGGGGUGUAUUUAUUAGAUAAAAAACCAAUGCCCUCUGGGCUCCUUGGUGAUUCAUAAUAACUUAACGAAUCGCAUGGCCUUGCGCCGGCGAUGGUUCAUUCAAAUUUCUGCCCUAUCAACUUUCGAUUGUAAGAUAGAGGCUUACAAUGGUCUUAACGGGUAACGGGGAAUUAGGGUUCUAUUCCGGAGAGGGAGCCUGAGAAACGGCUACCACAUCCAAGGAAGGCAGCAGGCGCGCAAAUUACCCAAUGCUAAUUCAGCGAGGUAGUGACAAUAAAUACUGAUACGGGGCUCUUUCGGGUCUCGUAAUUGGAAUGAGUACAAUCUAAAUCCCUUAACGAGGAACAAUUGGAGGGCAAGUCUGGUGCCAGCAGCCGCGGUAAUUCCAGCUCCAAUAGCGUAUAUUAAAGUUGUUGCCGUUAAAAAGCUCGUAGUUGAACCUUGGACCUGGCUGAUCUGUCCUCCUAAUCGAGCGCACGGAUUCGGUCGGGUCUUUCCUUCUGGGGAGCCCUAUGCCCUUCACUGGGUGUAGUGGGGAACCAGGACUUUUACCUUGAAAAAAUUAGAG